GUGCUUGCUUCGGUAGCUCAUAUAAUAAAAAAUUGGACUGAUACAGAGAUUAGCAUGGCCCUUGCACAAGGAUGACAUGCAAAUUCGUGAAAUGUUCCAUAUUAAU